ACAAACGCUGGCGGCGUGCCUAAUACAUGCAAGUCGAACGAGGUAGCAAUACCUAGUGGCGCACGGGUGAGUAACGCGUAGAUAAUCUGCCCUUCAGAGGGGGAUAGCUUUCCGAAAGGAAAAUUAAUACCGCAUAAGACCACAGGUACCGAGGUACUAGGGGUUAAAGGAGUAAUCCGCUGAAGGAUGAGUCUGCGUAAGAUUAGCUAGUUGGUAGGGUAACGGCCUACCAAGGCUUUGAUCUUUAGCUGGUCUGAGUGGAUGAUCAGCCACACUGGAACUGAGACACGGUCCAGACUCCUACGGGAGGCAGCAGUAGGGAAUAUUGCACAAUGGGGGAAACCCUGAUGCAGCAACGCCGCAUGAGUGACGAAGGCCUUCGGGUCGUAAAGCUCUGUUGUAUGGGAAGAAAAAAAUGACGGUACCAUAUAAGAAAGGACCGGCCAACUUCGUGCCAGCAGCCGCGGUAAGACGAGGGGUCCUAGCGUUGUUCGGAAUCACUGGGCGUAAAGCGCAUGUAGGCGGCUUAGUAAGUCAGUUGUGAAAGCCCUGGGCUCAACCCAGGAAGUGCAUCUGAUACUGCUGAGCUUGAGUAUGAGAGAGGGUAGUAGAAUUCCUGGUGUAGUGGUGAAAUACGUAGAUAUCAGGAGGAAUACCGGUGGCGAAGGCGGCUACCUGGCUCAAUACUGACGCUGAGAUGCGAAAGCGUGGGGAUCAAACAGGAUUAGAUACCCUGGUAGUCCACGCCGUAAACGAUGGACACUUGGUGUUGGAGGUAUUGACCCCUUCAGUGCCGAAGCUAACGCGUUAAGUGUCCCGCCUGGGAAGUACGGUCGCAAGAUUAAAACUCAAAGAAAUUGACGGGGGCCCGCACAAGCGGUGGAGCAUGUGGUUUAAUUCGAUGCAACGCGAAGAACCUUACCUGGUUUUGACAUGGUAGUGAAGACGGCAGAGAUGUCGUCGUCCUUCGGGACGCUAUCACAGGUGCUGCAUGGCUGUCGUCAGCUCGUGUCGUGAGAUGUUGGGUUAAGUCCCGCAACGAGCGCAACCCUUGCCUUUAGUUGCCAGCAUUCAGUUGGGCACUCUAAAGGGACUGCCGACGUUAAGUCGGAGGAAGGUGGGGAUGACGUCAAGUCCUCAUGGCCUUUAUAUCCAGGGCUACACACGUGCUACAAUGGUCGGUACAAAGGGUUGCCAAACCGUAAGGUGGAGCUAAUCCCAAAAAACCGAUCUAAGUUCGGAUUGAAGUCUGCAACUCGACUUCAUGAAGUUGGAAUCGCUAGUAAUCGCGGAUCAGCACGCCGCGGUGAAUACGUUCCCGGGCCUUGUACACACCGCCCGUCACACCAUGAAAGCUGGUUUUACCAGAAGUCGCUGUGCUAACCGUAAGGAGGUAAGCGCCCAAGGUAAGAUUAGUGAUUGGGGUG
rnacentral:rRNA from 1 species